CGCGAGUCACCGCCGAAUCGGCUAGUCGGGGAGCCGAACCGGGGACCCAAACCCCCAGGGGUGAAUCCGGUCCGGGCGUGUCGACCACGUCCUGCUGGUAGGGCGUGUCCGGCCCGAACCCGUCAGCUAACCCGGUAGGCGGUCGCGGAGGACGAA
rnacentral:sRNA from 1 species